rnacentral:rRNA from 1 species
UAAAACGGAGGGUGCAAGCGUUGUUCGGAAUUACUGGGCGUAAAGCGCGUGCAGGUGGUCUUUUAAGUUUCGUGUGUAAGCCCUCGGCUUAACCGAGGAACGGCACGGAAAACUGGAAGACUUGAAAACGGGAGAAGAGGGCGGAAUUCCCAGUGUAGAGGUGAAAUUCGUAGAUAUUGGGAGGAACACCGGCGGCGAAAGCGGCUCUCUAGACCGAUAUUGACGCUCAUACGCGAGAGCGUGGGUAGCAAACAGGA